rnacentral:rRNA from 1 species
AACGGAGGGUGCGAGCGUUAUUCGGAAUUACUGGGCGUAAAGCGCGUGCAGGCGGGAGAGUGGGUCUGAUGUGAAAGCCCGGGGCUUAACCCCGGAAGAGCAUUGGAAACUGCUUUUCUUGAGUUUCGGAGAGGAAGGGGGAAUUCCCGGUGUAGAGGUGAAAUUCGUAGAGAUCGGGAGGAACACCAGUGGCGAAGGCGCCCGUCUGGACGACAACUGACGCUGAGACGCGAAAGCGUGGGGAGCAAACAGG